rnacentral:rRNA from 1 species
AUGCAACUUAAACAUCCGAACAUUCAACUUAACAUCCAAACAUUCAAACACAUAGUACUCCUACGGACACACUAUGCACAUACUACUCAUCAUCAUCGUCAGGUUGUGUGUCCGAUGGCGUUCCAAAACACCAUGGUCUCCUCCUUAGAGGUAUUGAACUCCUCACUCUGGUCGUCAAGCUCAACCUCGUCGUCAGACCCGAGCUUGAUCACCCUGGAGGGGCUAGCCUCGCCCUCCUUGCGCUCCACCUUGCGCUCAUUGUCCCUCUUUCAAAACCACUCCACCUCCGCCUGUACAAGAUGUGGAUUUUCCACGGCGAACCUCGCCAUCGCCGCCUCAUCACCCUCCCGGGUGUCCCGCUGCUCCAGGACAAUGCGGGUGACCCUCUUCUCCUUGCGGGAUACAAUAUUCACCGUCGGAGUGAUGAACUUCGCCCCCUCCCGAGAUUCAAUUACCGGAAAGUUAAGCUUGCGACGUGGCCGGUCAAGCCUCCAACAGGCGAUGUUGAACGCGCUCGUGGCUAGCUCCGCCACUCGAACUUGCCGAGCCAAUGGCGCUGGCCGUCGCACUGCAGCUCGGCGCCGUAGUGGCCGGACUGCCGCAGCCGAACGUGUGCUCUUUGGCGCGCGUUUCGGCGGCAGCCUCNNNNNNNNNNNNNNNNNNNNNNNNNNNNNNNNNNNNNNNNNNCGGCAAUGCGGCGUGGCGCGCGGUGGUAAUGGCUGGAUUCGGUCCACAGGGCGGUAUGGUGCAACGACGGUUUUAGGAUUGGAAAUGGGGUACUGCGGUGGCAGGGCAGUGGCGGUGUGGCCGAUUGGAACAGGGGUACGAUGGUUUCAAGCUGCGGGGUGGUGCAUGAUGGCUGGAUUCAGUGGGGCGGCGGUGGCGUGGAGGGAAAAGGGCUGCGGGGAAGGUUCCUGA